GUAUGAACCAUGGACAAGUUGGAAUACAGUAAAUAUUACAUCAAUGUAAAUAAAUAAUGAGUUCACAACAAUACCUAAAGUGGUGAGUUAUUUUUCUUAUACUAACGGAUCUCCUGAGUUUUCUGUUGAGUUUUGUGUUCUGAAGUUUUCAAGUUUUGGGUAAAUAUUUGAUGGACUAUGGAAUAAGGAGUGGCAAGAGCCUAAGAUUGGGGAUGCCCAAGGCACCCCAAGCCAUAUUCAAGGAUACCAAAGAGCCUAAGCUUAGGGAUUCCCCGGAAGUCAUCCCCUCUUUCGUCUUCAAUCCAUCGGUAAAUUUACUUGAGGCUAUAUUUUUACUC
rnacentral:lncRNA from 1 species